UUGAAUUAAAUCAACUUUGAAUAUUUUACCAGGUACAACAUUUGUAUUAUUUUGAACGGGUUACGAUUUUCCAAAUGCUAGUACUAAAAUAUUUAUCACAAUUUGAGGAAUAUGCCCAACAUAAUAUAGUAGCCGUACUUGAUUUCUUUCUUUUGAUUAUCGCUAUUAGUUAAAUAAAUUUACAGUGGCACCGAAUCCAUGUAUUAGGUGUGGCAGCCGCCACACCUAUUUUAAGGGGUGGGUGUACCCCCAAAAUUUGUGAGUAAUCGUAAUCCUAAGUAUAAAAAUAUAUUGUACCUACACAUAAUAUAAGAAAGAUGACGUCCUAUAGUGUGCCAAUAGCGUGCAGUGUCUACUUGUGUGAUAACGUUAUAAAUAACCAAUUACUAAUUAUUAAUAAAUAAUUUAAUCAAUAGUAUUGUGUAAAAAGUCAAAAACUCUGACAAUACAAUACAUUUACUAUUUUUAUUUUAAAAGUGAUAAAACAAUUAGUACCUAUUAACUGAAAUAGCGGGGGUGAUGGCCCCCCGGCACACAUGAAUGAAUUUUAUUUUACAACAAUUUCUGCAUUUAUAUUUUAUGUCUGAAAUUACCUAUUAUGACAUUAAAAAUGGUUCAAAUUUCUACUUCACCAACUUUUCUGAUAAAAAAAGUGAAUCUAGUUGGUACUUUGUUGAGUCAAAACUCAAAAGUAAAAAAGUUAAUUUUUAAACAGUAAUUUUCAAAAGCAUCGUCGGGUGGCAUUUUGUCGGAUUUUGGUGAUGGUGUUUUGUCGCUAUCACGUGGCCUUAUGUCGGGUAGUUAUUUGUCGGGUGGCUUUUUGGCGUGCUUCCUUUUAUGUUAGGCUUCAUGUAAUCAUUGUUAUGAUUUUGCGGUUAUAACCACGGUUAUAUUAUACUAAUGUCUUAAACCAUGGUUAUAACAAAUAAGUCGACAAAAUCUAAUUUUCUGAUUGGCUGCUAUUUUUACUGCGUCAAGAGACAUCUAAUGCAUUGCCAGCUGCAUGUUGUUUGGUUUUUAUCAAUCAUUUCUCAAAACAUUUUUCAAGUGACUACAUGCCGAAAGACAAAAUGGCUAGCAACCAUUACAACGGCCGUGGUAGCGGGUUGUUCUAUGGUACCACGGUGCUUUGCCGGGUGCCCGUACGCCGUCCGGGAGGAAACGUAUCUAAUAAAAAAAAGCACAUGCGUAUUGCAUUUGCCAAGAUGGUACAGGUGCCAACAGGUGGGUCACCUGGCAAGGAAUUGUGGAAAGUUUGUCCUAUUAUUUAUUUUGUCACGUGCUAAGCUUUUGUAAAUUUUAUCAGACCCCUGCGUGGUACUUGCGGCAUCGUCGGGCGCGUCCUCAUCGGUGGUCGCGUCGUCGUCGCAGCAGCGGCGACGACAACCACUGCAGGGGCCGCAGCCACCACAGCAGCAGCGAGGGUCGAAGCGGCGGGUCCGUGGGAGAAGUAGUUUUGUCUGACAAACGUCGAGGGCGAGGAGGAGGGGUCGCCGGCCGCAGCCUCGACUCUUAAAUCGACGGGUGAGGAGGUGGGGUUCACGACCGCCUCUUCAACGCCAGGAACUCCAACUGUGGUUGGGUCGGCAGACAGUGGGAGGUGGGCGGUUACGGCGGCUGGUAAGUUUCAAUUGGACGAUUUUGUCUACUUCAUAAUUUAUUUAACAAUUUAAAUUCAUUGGUAUAAUGGCAACAACAAUAAGGGAGUAUCGUAAGUUGAAAACAAUUAAAUAUUUAUUUAUGUAUCAAAGUUUUUAACUUUUAAUCAUACAAAAAUACAAUUAUUUUCCUAAACAUUAGCAUUCUCUAAUUUUAUUUUCCACAUGUUUAGAGUUCUAAUCAAUUAGUUUCCAAGCAUUUAGCUCCUCCCUGGUUUAUGGUUAUAUAUUCUUAUAAACAAACUAGCUCUGAUUAGUAAUAUUUAUAUAAACAUUUUUGAUAUAAUAUAACUACAUAUUAUUACUGCAUUAAUAUUACUGUACCUAUAUCGGCACGGAAUAAGAACAUGGCCAGGCGGCGGACCGAUUAGUGUCCGUUACGCACAGCCGAUUUCUCAUUGGUUCCCCAAACAUCUGUUCACAGUUAUACAGCACUGUUCAAAAUGAACCGCAUACACUGUUUUUUUAUAAACACUAGCACGUCUCUGUUGACACACGAGGCGCUCCAUAUACAAAGCCGGUAAUUGCCACCAUGGUGGGCAACGCUAUUGCAAUAAUUUGGUGCUAAUUUUUUAAAUGCCACAAUCAUUUUGCUAAUUACAAUAGUAUUGACGUAUUGUCUUUUAUGACAAUGGCCUGAUAUUUGGAUAGUAAUGUAGUAGAUUUAUUACUAUAUUAGUACCUAUAAUGUAGCUGGCAAUGGCCAUCCCAUUAUCCCGAUAAAUAAUUUAUAAAAUAUCUGGCUUAGGUACUGUCUGAUUUUAUACAUCUCUUAUAAGAAAUUAAUUAUUAAUA
rnacentral:lncRNA from 1 species